AGGACGAACGCUGGCGGCGUGCUUAACACAUGCAAGUCGAGCGAGGCCCUUCCUUCGGGAAGGAGCCCUAGCGGCGAACGGGUGAGUAACACGUGGGCAACCUGCCCCUAGCACUGGGAUAACUCCGGGAAACCGGGGCUAAUACCGGAUAUGACCUUUGAGGGCAUCCUCUUUGGUGUAAAGGAUUCUGGCUAGGGAUGGGCCCGCGGCCUAUCAGCUUGUUGGUGGGGUAAAGGCCUACCAAGGCGACGACGGGUAGCCGGCCUGAGAGGGCGACCGGCCACACUGGGACUGAGACACGGCCCAGACUCCUACGGGAGGCAGCAGUGGGGAAUAUUGCACAAUGGGCGAAAGCCUGAUGCAGCGACGCCGCGUGAGGGAUGACUGCCUUCGGGUUGUAAACCUCUUUCAGCAGGGACGAAGCGAAAGUGACGGUACCUGCAGAAGAAGCACCGGCCAACUACGCGCCAGCAGCCGC
rnacentral:rRNA from 1 species